rnacentral:rRNA from 1 species
UUCCGGUUGAUCCUGCCGGACCUGACUGCUAUCGGAUUGAUACUAAGCCAUGCGAGUCUUUGCAGUAAUGCAAGGCAUACGGCUCAGUAACACGUAGUCAACUUACCCUAUGGACGAGGAUAAUCUCGGGAAACUGAGCAUAAUACUCGAUAGAUCAUAAUGCCUGGAAUGGUUUAUGGUUGAAAUGAUUCGUCGCCAUAGGAUGGGACUGCGGCCUAUCAGCUUGUUGGUGAGGUAAUGGCCCACCAAGGCGAUUACAGGUACGGGCUCUGAGAGGAGAAGCCCGGAGAUGGGUACUGAGACACGGACCCAGGCCCUAUGGGGCGCAGCAGGCGAGAAAACUUUGCAAUGUGCGAAAGCACGACAAGGUUAAUCCGAGUGAUUUCUGCUAAAGAAAUCUUUUGCAAGUCAUAAAACCACUAGUGAAUAAGGGGUGGGCAAGUUCUGGUGUCAGCCGCCGCGGUAAAACCAGCACCUCAAGUGGUCAGGAGGAUUAUUGGGCCUAAAGCAUCCGUAGCCGGCUCUGUAAGUUUUCGGUUAAAUCCAUGUGCUCAACGCAUGGGCUGCCGAAAAUACUGCAUAGCUAGGGAGUGGGAGAGGUAGACGGUACUCAGUAGGAAGGGGUAAAAUCCUUUGAUCUAUUGAUGACCACCUGUGGCGAAGGCGGUCUACCAGAACACGUUCGACGGUGAGGGAUGAAAGCUGGGGGAGCAAACCGGAUUAGAUACCCGGGUAGUCCCAGCUGUAAACGAUGCAGACUCGAUGAUGCAUUGGCAUAUAGCCAGUGCAGUGUCGCAGGGAAGCCGUUAAGUCUGCCGCCUGGGAAGUACGUACGCAAGUAUGAAACUUAAAGGAAUUGGCGGGGGAGCACCACAAGGGGUGAAGCCUGCGGUUCAAUUGGAGUCAACGCCGGG